GGCCUCUACAAGUGUAACAUCAGCGGUCGUGGAGAGUCUCCAUCCAGCUGGAUCUCUGUCACAGAUAAACCUACAACCACAGCUCUGCCACCUGGUGGUCUUCUGUCUGUACUGCAUCUCCACUGUCCUCAUGGUGUCUUUAUAUCGACACAGGGCCACAGGAAAUGACCUGCCCAUCUCCAUGGUGAUGACCCCGCCUGCCCAGUCUGAGGAGGAAUUGGAUAAUGACUGUGAUGACGUCAUCACUGCUGUCACCACAGAGCAUCACUUCUGAGCUGAUCCAGUGUGUUCAGGUUCUUAAUGAAGCUGAAAUGUUUGAUUCAUCUUCAAAUAAACCUCAGAUUUCCUUCAUAGAUCACAAACAGCAGAGCAAAAGUUGAGAGAUCUGCCUGUUUUAUUUUCUAUUUAACUUUUUUAAAACUUUUUUAUUUAUUUCCCGGUUGCUUUUGCUCAAAACUACAGUUAUGUCAAUCCAAAGAGGGCUGACAGACAAAAGGCCGACUCCUCAUGUUGGGAUAUUUCUCCUGUGACAACAGCAGAAUUCAGCCUUUGUGUCUCUAGUUGUCCUGGAUCUCAUCUGAAUGUCACUCUGAAGGCUCACAGUGAAAGAGAAAAAGAGCAGGAAGUGACAACAUCUUAAAACUGUAUGUUAAAGGGUUAACGUCAGAGUUUAUUGGCGUGAGCGGCAGAGUUGGACAUGGUAAAAGUUAUGUAAGAAGAGUUUCAGUCAUCCAGGUGACAGGAUUUCAAGAUGUACUACCUCAAAGUAACCUGCUUCUCUGUGUGUUUGUUCUGGGUUGCCUUCAAGCUCACAUUAACAGAAAAGUCUGAUGUAGUGUGGAAGGAGCAAUCCUGAAUGGCUGAAUCUCAACAUUCACGAGUUUCAACGUGAGUCCGUGAGCGUUUAGGGUUACGAGAUAAACAAGUUAAUUGAUCAUUUAAACUGACCUCUUGUCCACUCUGUAAGGCUCCCUCAGUACCUCGGCCAUGAAGAAAGAUGGAAAUAAAAAGAUCAUAACCCACAAUUGUUUUGAUGUAGCCAUGUUAACAUGAUCACCAGGUAACGGCAGCUGAGUAUGUGAGGGUUCAUGGUGUAGGCUUUAGGGUGGAGAAUGGGACCAUGACGCUGUCCACUGUCACUUAGAGACAGAGGUGACUACUCCAGACUUCAGUUACAAAGUACACUCAUUCAAUAAAUAGAUACUAGGAAGUUUA